GUAAUGCUUAGGAAUCUGCCUAUUAGUGGGGGACAACAUCUCGAAAGGGAUGCUAAUACCGCAUACGUCCUACGGGAGAAAGCAGGGGACCUUCGGGCCUUGCGCUAAUAGAUGAGCCUAAGUCGGAUUAGCUAGUUGGUGGGGUAAAGGCCUACCAAGGCGACGAUCUGUAGCGGGUCUGAGAGGAUGAUCCGCCACACUGGGACUGAGACACGGCCCAGACUCCUACGGGAGGCAGCAGUGGGGAAUAUUGGACAAUGGGGGGAACCCUGAUCCAGCCAUGCCGCGUGUGUGAAGAAGGCCUUUUGGUUGUAAAGCACUUUAAGCGAGGAGGAGGCUACCGAGAUUAAUACUCUUGGAUAGUGGACGUUACUCGCAGAAUAAGCACCGGCUAACUCUGUGCCAGCAGCCGCGGUAAUACAGAGGGUGCAAGCGUUAAUCGGAUUUACUGGGCGUAAAGCGCGCGUAGGUGGCCAAUUAAGUCAAAUGUGAAAUCCCCGAGCUUAACUUGGGAAUUGCAUUCGAUACUGGUUGGCUAGAGUAUGGGAGAGGAUGGUAGAAUUCCAGGUGUAGCGGUGAAAUGCGUAGAGAUCUGGAGGAAUGCCGAUGGCGAAGGCAGCCAUCUGGCCUAAUACUGACACUGAGGUG
rnacentral:rRNA from 1 species